rnacentral:lncRNA from 1 species
AGAGAACCAAAGCUCCUUUCACAGGAUGUUUUCCUCCUGCCUCCCUGUCCCCUCAGGUGUGCACAGGAGGGAGAAGCAGUGUGAUUUGUGAUGCUUUGGAAGGAGAGAGGAACGCAAACAUCAGGGUAAAUUAACAGCUGGUGGAAAAUGUGCCUCCCUUGGAGGAGGGAUGGCAUGACAGGGAGAGAGAGGAAAACACUACAUCACCUUGGAACAGCCAAACUACAGCUGAGAUUCAGCAGCAGAAGAAAUCUGGGCAUGGCAUCUGCUUUCAGCAAGUGGAGCUGCAUCCUAGGAAUGGAGCAGAUCGGCACCAACCAGGGGGAGCAGCACGGCAAUCCUGCCCCAGGAACACAGCCAGGAUGUCCAUAAAUCGGAAAGACUUUUCUGCAAAGGCACUUCGAUUUUCCAUUCAGAUGGCUUCUGAACACUUCAUUUUGGAGUGGGAAAGGCAAGGAUCAAGUCUCCACUCAUCUGCAGAAGGACAGAGCCCAGCUCUGUUCGCAGUGCAGACACAGCACACAGACAAACUCUGCCGUGAUGCCAUCACUAAAGCAAGACUGAAGAAGCAAAUCUGGACCAUUCACCCUCUGUUGGCUACCAAAAAUCUCCAGGUGACUCCUGGGCCAAAGCCAGUAGGACAGGGAAACUCACACUUAACACUUCAGGGAGCUCUGCACAGGCUGCCAGGGCCACUGAAGGGCCCAAGAAAAUUCCUAGUCCAAUAAACGAGGCCCAAGCGAGACCCAGCUCAGGACAUGGGGCAGCUGGAAUCUGACUGUGCUGCUCCAGUGCCACUUCUCUAAUCCUCAGCAUCCUGUGACAUCCUGGAGAGACUGACCAGGAUGCUCCCUCCCUGUGUCCAGAGGUUUUGGACAGGGAUUGCUCAGCAGAGAUCACAUGCUUGGCUUCUCAGAAAGCUGAAGGAUGAUCAAUAGUUGAUUAAUAUAGUGAAGAAAUUAAUGUAUUAAAUGCAGUGGCUGAUGUCAAAUACAUUCUCUCUUGCUCAUCGAUUCCCUUAUUUUUAACCUGCAUGUGCCAAAGUUCUGAAGCCCAAUUCUAGUGUGCAGCUGGCACAUCCAUCUCUUUAAUUUCAUAUGGAUAUAAGAUACUGAGCAAUGUAUUUGAUUGAGUAAAUGUGGUGCCAUUGAUUUUGUGGCUGAAUUAUCUGACUUGAUUGGCACCGUGUCCCAUUUAAUAGAGAAAGCAACCAAUUCAAUAAGUAAUGUUAGUAAUUGGGUAGUUGUUCUCUGAAGAAAGAUUACUUGAGUUCACAGGACUAAUGUUUCUCGGUUGCAGUGUAAACUGGAUAAAUUUCUACACGAGAUGAACACGAUAACAUUUAUCCGUGUAAUAACAAAGCUCUGGGCUCUCUAACGCAGCAGCAAGGGCUCCUGGGCAGUCCCCACUGAGCAGCUCCCAUGCUGUUUAUACAUUAAUACAAAGCUCAGACAUCAGGACCAUUCAUUAAUUAACCCUCAAAAGCCACUGAGAAACGCUGCAUAUGUUUGUGAGUGUUCUAACAAACACACUGCUGCUGCUCUGCACCACAGAGUGCUGACACUGACCCUGGGCUCAGGGCACUGCUCGGGUGCUCAGGAGCAGCCCUGGCACCAGUGGGGCUGAAUCAGAAUCCCAGAAUGAUUUAGGCUGGAAAAGAACUUCAUUGAAUCCAAGCUGCAGUCAGUCCCCAGCGUGUCACCCAGCCCACAUCCAGCUGUUCUUUGG